UACGGAGGGCGCAAGCGUUACUCGGAAUCACUGGGCGUAAAGCGCACGUAGGUGGUCCCGUAAGUCUCGUGUGAAAUCUACUGGCUCAACCAGUAAACUGCAUGGGAAACUGUGAGACUAGAGUGCAGGAGGGGCAGAUGGAAUUCCUGGUGUAGGGGUAAAAUCCGUAGAGAUCAGGAAGAAUACCGAUAGCGAAGGCGAUCUGCUGGAAUGCUACUGACACUGGGGUGCGAAAGCGUGGGGAGCAAACAGG
rnacentral:rRNA from 1 species